CCCGGGCUCCUUCCACUAAGCCACGCGGCUUCAAAUUUUUGGGCGGCACUCAAUCAGUGCUAUUUACUUAUCUGAUGGGUGCAGUGCUUAUUAAGCGCAAGAAGAGAGUACAACAGAAGCAAGAAACAGAUCUGCUGCCCUCAAACUCACAAGCUAAAGGCGGAGACGGAAUAAUGGGUGCAAUCGAAGAACAUCCCAAUGAAGCGGGACGCCGUAGCGGGUUUUGGAGGAGCCGAGGGGGAGGAUCUUCAAGAUGGCGACUCGGGCAGCAAUGUUUGGAGUCCCUAAAAGGCGACCCCCGGCACUACUGAGAAGACCACACUUUCAAAGCAGGGAAAGCAAUUCCUGGUAAAGAGAACUCUGAGAGCCUACGGAACACGAGUGAAUCUGAGACUCCCAGAAGGAAGACCUGGCUGACACGGGAGCAUCUAAAUGUUUUCAAAAUUCCAAGGAGCAGAUGGAAGGCGGAGAGAGCCAAGGUUCAAGGAGAAUCAAUCUGUCUCAGAAUCAAGAUCCGGGCAACAGAGCACUGAUUAAUCAGUCGCUCAAUGGUAAGGACGGAGCUUUUACCGCGUGCAGAGCCCUGUACCCGACAGACCUGCGUACUUCUACGAGGGGCCUCGCGCCCUUCUUGACUGGCACUGGGAAGGAGCCGAGCCGGUGGCCCCCGUGGGAACUCUGAUUGUUCUGCUUUAAAUUACCCUCAGUUCUCCGAUAAUGCGGGUGAAGUCCUCUGAAGAACAGCACGGUAGAGGAAAAUGGUGCUCGUGGAACUUGCGCUUUGACCGACGCUGCCGCUGGGCCGCCCGGUCAUUUCUUCCGGGGCCCUGCCCGGCUCGCUCGGCUCCCCGACGCCGUGAUCUCCGUGACCCAAGGGGAAACCACCUGCUCCGGGAGAAUCGACGGCCCGAGGGGACGCCGCUUCUGCAGGCCGACGUGCGGUCCAUCCCGCGGAGGAUGAGCCGGACCUUCGGCUCAUUGCAACUUAGUGCUUCCCUGCUAAGGAAUAACUGUCACUCAGAAUCUCGCUCAUCUACCCCAUACAGAUAAUAAAAAAAAACCCCCAAAAAACAAAAAUGAUUUAAAAGAAGAUCUCUGAAUAUGUCUAGGUCCUUGAAGCAGAGUCAAAUGGAUACUAAGAAAGCAUUAAACUUCAAAG